GUGGCAGCCUGGUGUGGCGGUUCCUCUUUUCAAGAAGGGGGACCGGAGUGUGUAUUCCAACUACAGAGGAAUCACGCUCCUCAGCUUCCCUGGUAAGGUCUAUUCAGGAUUGCUGGAGAGCAGGGUUCGACGGA